rnacentral:rRNA from 1 species
GACGAACGCUGGCGGCGUGCUUAACACAUGCAAGUCGAACGGAAAGGCCCUGCUUUUGUGGGGUGCUCGAGUGGCGAACGGGUGAGUAACACGUGAGUAACCUGCCCUUGACUUUGGGAUAACUUCAGGAAACUGGGGCUAAUACCGGAUAGGAGCUCCUGCUGCAUGGGGGGGGUUGGAAAGUUUCGGCGGUGGGGGAUGGACUCGCGGCUUAUCAGCUUGUGGGUGGGGUAGUGGCUUACCAAGGCUUUGACGGGUAGCCGGCCUGAGAGGGUGACCGGCCACCUUGGGCCUGCGAUACGGCCCAGACUCCUACGGGAGGCAGCAGUGGGGAAUAUUGCACAAUGGGCCGACGCCUGAUGCAGCAACGCCGCGUGCGGGAUGACGGCCUUCGGGUUGUAAACCGCUUUCGCCUGUGACGAAGCGUUAGUGACGGUAAUGGGUAAAGAAGCACCGGCUAACUACGUG